rnacentral:rRNA from 1 species
AACGAACGCUGGCGGCAUGCCUAACACAUGCAAGUCGAACGAAGGCUUCGGCCUUAGUGGCGCACGGGUGCGUAACGCGUGGGAAUCUGCCCUUGGGUUCGGAAUAACUCAGAGAAAUUUGAGCUAAUACCGGAUGAUGACGUAAGUCCAAAGAUUUAUCGCCCAAGGAUGAGCCCGCGUAAGAUUAGCUAGUUGGUGGGGUAAAGGCCUACCAAGGCGACGAUCUUUAGCUGGUCUGAGAGGAUGAUCAGCCACACUGGGACUGAGACACGGCCCAGACUCCUACGGGAGGCAGCAGUGGGGAAUAUUGGACAAUGGGCGAAAGCCUGAUCCAGCAAUGCCGCGUGAGUGAUGAAGGCCUCGGUUGUAAGACCUGUCGAGGGGACGGAAGGUUAC